GGCACCUUGGCGGAGUGGUUAAACGCGCUGCCCUGCUAAGGCAGUUCCUUCGGGAGCGCAAGUUCGAAUCUUGCAGGUGUUA